GACGAACGCUGGCGGCGUGCCUAAUACAUGCAAGUCGAGCGGACAGAAGGGAGCUUGCUCCCGGAUGUUAGCGGCGGACGGGUGAGUAACACGUGGGUAACCUGCCUGUAAGACUGGGAUAACUCCGGGAAACCGGAGCUAAUACCGGAUAGUUCCUUGAACCGCAUGGUUCAAGGAUGAAAGACGGUUUCGGCUGUCACUUACAGAUGGACCCGCGGCGCAUUAGCUAGUUGGUGGGGUAAUGGCUCACCAAGGCGACGAUGCGUAGCCGACCUGAGAGGGUGAUCGGCCACACUGGGACUGAGACACGGCCCAGACUCCUACGGGAGGCAGCAGUAGGGAAUCUUCCGCAAUGGACGAAAGUCUGACGGAGCAACGCCGCGUGAGUGAUGAAGGUUUUCGGAUCGUAAAGCUCUGUUG
rnacentral:rRNA from 1 species